GUUUUCUAUUAUCUAAUUUCUCCUUUAUGCACAGCAUUUGUUGCUCUGGGUUCACCUUAGAGAUUUGGGGUGUGUCUGAAUAGUGAUCUUGUGAAUCAACAUGAGAAAUGCUGAUGUCAUUCUGAUUAGGUAAUGAACUGUAUCUAAUUUUACCAUGAAAUAUCCAUUUAUAGGAGUCAGUCAUAAAUCAUCUAAUGCUACCUAAGACCCUAAGAAGGAAGCAAAAAAGUGUACCAUCAGCACCAAUGACUUUUUAGGUCAUUUCUUGGUCAGCUUAUACAGGAACUGAAUCAAACACGGCAAACUGUCACUGUCUUUUGUCUUCUGUAGUCAGUGUUUUAAAGGCACACCCAAUGUGUGAAGAUGGGCUGGAAUUGAGAACAGUCUGACUUAGUUGAUUAUCCUUGAAAGAGAAAUACAUCAUCGAGAGAGUGGCACUGACUUAGGGGAAAAGCCCGAGAGUGACCUCCUAGUGAAACCUUCAGGCUAAUAAUCCCCACUGUGAUAUCAUAGCUGAAACAAAAUUUGAACACGAGAGCCAGAUUAACAGGAAAGGAGGAGAGAAAAUACUUCAAUGAGUCUCACUGAGAUGGGCAAGAAAGAAGAGACUUGAACCACAAGUCAUUUUUAUCCAGGAAAGAGGACAACCAAGUUUAAGGGAGGCAAAUGCAGGCAAUAUCAUUUUGCAAAUUUAAGUCUACCAGAUCCUGGUGUCAUAUGUAGCCAAAGAGCAAUGGAGAGCUGGAGACACAUUCUAAGACCUGGAGUAAAGCUGGCAUAUCUAUAUAGCCAUCCAGCUUCUUAUCCACCAUAAAAUAAAUCUUGUGGGUGAUUGAGGCA
rnacentral:lncRNA from 1 species